GUCCGGCCUUAUCCAUCGCUUUCCGUCAGGAUGCGGCUCAGACUGGGGGCCCCACAGUCUGUCUCAUAGUGACCCACCUGCCAGGACCCCAGACAGGCCCAGGUCUGUUGGAAUCCCAGCAGAGAACACAGCUCAGCUUUGGGGCCGGCCCCCCAACCAGGCUACCCGGGACAAUGCCACAAGCCAAGAGUCAGAGGGUAAAUCUCUCAAACUAGUGGAGGGUCCCUAAGUCUUUGCAAUCUGUCAGGGAAAGCCUGGCACAAUUUCAGUUUGAAAAAUGUUCCUUCUCAGUUACUUUUUCCUCUAGAAAAUCCUUGUUAUCAAAGACACUCAAGAGAGCCUGGCUGGGCUGGCCCGAAGAUGCCGGAACCUGUUGAAGUACUCCACCUCCCCCCGCCGCCACCCCAGCCUGAAUCUCUUCAUCAAUCUGAAGUUGUCUGAUUCAUUAUGAAAAUAAUUUUAUGUCCCCGAACACAGUAGGUGCCAUGGAAGUCACAACCCCUCCAUCCACAUCCCUCCUGAGGUACACUCUCCUCACCUCAGGACCCCUGUCUGGACCCGCUGUUGUCCUCAAUCUCAGCCCAGCCACUGUGUCCCCCUCAGGUCGUCUAGUCUCCUGGGGUGGGGUGGGGGCAAGCCAGUGAUGAAGCUGCACUUCUGUCAGAGGGGCCGCCAGCCUUCUGGGUGCCUGUCGAUGAAGACUGAGGGGCUCAACACUUACACGGACACUCUCACCUUUAGUAUGAAGCCCCUGCUCUCAGCCGUGCCUGGAGGCCCCUGUCCCAGAGACCCAACAUUGCCAAAAAUAAAUGCCCAGUGGUCUGCUGGACGGGGGUG